UUCCACCCCCGUGACCCCCUGGCGUCCUCUCCACCACCGCAGCCCAACUGCUACGCCAAGGUGAUCACCAUCGAGGCGCAGAAGAAGAUCGUCAUCUACUCGAAGCAGCCCAUCGGGGUCAACGAGGAGAUCACCUACGACUACAAGUUCCCCAUCGAGGACACCAAAAUCCCCUGCCUGUGCCGCACCGAGAGCUGCCGCGGCACGCUCAACUAGGCCACCGCGUGGUGGGCCCGGUGGUGGGCCUGGUGGUGGGCCUGGUGGUGGGCCUGGUGGUGGGCCUUCUGGUGGGCCUUCUGGUGGGCCUGGUGGUGGGCCUUCUGGUGGGCCUGGUGGUGGGCCUGAUGGUGGGCCUGAUGGUGGGCCUUCUGGUGGGCCUGGUGGUGGGCCUUCUGGUGGGCCUUCUGGUGGGCCUGGUGGUGGGCCUUCUGGUGGGCGAGGAGGCAGCGGCGUUGGGGAGAAGUCAACGUGGUUGGCAAGAGGUCAACGUGGUGGUGUUGGGUCAUCGUGGUUGGUGUUGGGUCAUCGUGGUUGGUGUGAGGUCAUCGUGGUUGGUGUGA
rnacentral:lncRNA from 1 species